UACGGGGGGAGCAAGCGUUGUUCGGAUUUACUGGGCUUAAAGGGUGCGUAGGCGGCGCGGAAAGUAGGGUGUGAAAUCCCUCGGCUCAACCGAGGAACUGCGCUCUAAACUACCGUGCUCGAGGGAGAUAGAGGUAAGCGGAACUUAGGGUGGAGCGGUGAAAUGCGUUGAUAUCCUAAGGAACACCGGUGGCGAAAGCGGCUUACUGGAUCUCUUCUGACGCUGAGGCACGAAAGCUAGGGUAGCGAACGGG
rnacentral:rRNA from 1 species